rnacentral:lncRNA from 1 species
CCAGGGAGGCACUGCAGGAGACUGUGGAGCUGGGGGCGGGGACGGCGCCCGUGUAGCACUACAAGGACUGCCUGAACAAAGUGGUUUCUGACACCCAGUCUGGGGAGGAGAGACCGUGGUUUCACCAUUUUUCUCCCCAUCACCAACAAGAAACUCUGUUCUAUUGAUUAUCUCUUCACUCACCUGAAUCUACAAAUUCUACUUAUUCCUUCCUGACCGUCAAAGUAAAAAUUGCACCCACAAAGUUAAACAGGAUCCUCUUCUCAUAUCUCAAGAGAUUUGGAUGGCUGAAGUAAAGUGACAUCAGGAAUUCAGCAUUUUGAGGUAAGUGGGGCCUUCUGUCAGCAGUCGUCUUUGUUUUCUUCCAUGUGUUAGUCAAAGUGUUGCUCCCAAGUCCAUUUGUUCUUCUUCAUCACUGAGCCCUGUCUUCAGCCUGCCUAGCUCAGUGUAUCAAGAAUGCUUCUAGUCAGUUUAGCAAGAAUCUCACACUCUUGAUAGCUGAUCACCCUGGCCUGCCUUCAGCAGGAAUCCUGUGAAGUGAGCUUAUCAAGAAUACCC